rnacentral:rRNA from 1 species
GACGAACGCUGGCGGCGUGCUUAACACAUGCAAGUCGAACGGAAAGGCCCUGCGUUUGUGGGGUGCUCGAGUGGCGAACGGGUGAGUAACACGUGAGUAACCUGCCCUUGACUGUGGGAUAACUUCAGGAAACUGGGGCUAUUACCGGAGAGGAGCUCCUGCUGCAUGUUGGGGGUUGGAAAGUUUCGGCGGUUGGGGAUGUACUCGCGGGUUAUCAGCUUGUUGGUGUGGUAGUGGCUUACCAAGGCUGUGACGGGUAGCCGGCCUGAGAGGUGGACCGGCGACAUUAGGCCUGCGAGACGGAGCAGAAUCGUACGGGAGGCAGCGGUGGAGAACAUUACAGAGUGGGGGGACGUCAGAGGCAGCAACGUCGCGUGCGGGAAGACGGGCUUCGGGUUGUAAACAGAUGUGGAAGGAGACGAGGCGUGAGUGACGGUAAUGGGUAAAGAAGCAACGGCUAACUACGUG